AAAAGUCACUGGUAUAUGAAGCUGCAAGGUUGCUGAGGAGGACAGGGAAUCUUUCUUGAAGUGGGAAUGGCCUUGCAGGGCUGAUGGACUUCUAGUUAGUUCGGGGCAACUAUACCAUGCAAUAGCAGAGAAGAAGUCCCUUUGAUGAACUGGCCAGACUUCUGCUUUCUUUUCAUGAGGAUCCAGGGUCUCAUACUCCUGAAGCCUUGAGUCAUCUGUCUACAUUCUAGCUUCUGCCACCCAGCCAGCUAAGGUAUGAAAGCAGCCAAGCUUCAAGCAGAUGACACUUGGCUCCAGCUGCCCCAUCCUGAUUAUCCCCAGUGCACAUCGUCCUCUCUGGUUUCCUUGCUGUCUGGAACCCACAUGUCCCUGGAUGUUGUAAAUGGUUUGCACUUGACUACUAACCGAAAGGUCGGUGGUUCAAACCCACCCAGAAGCAUUGUGGAAGAAAGGCCUGGUGAUCUGCUUUUGUAAAGAUUGCAAUCAAGAAAACACUAUGGAGCAGUUCUACUGCAUAACACGUGAGGUUGCCGUAAAUCGGAACCGACACUCCAGAAACUAGUUUGAUUUUUAAAUGCUUUGUUAAAGAAUAUCCUGGAGUCACUGCACUUGGGGCGCGGUGUUUCAUGCAGCUUCCCCCAGCCAGCGCCUGUCAUUCCGUAUAGGUAGGUGCUUAUGUAGGUUAAGGAAACCAGGACACAGAAAGCUGUAUAGGUGACUAUAUGGCCAGCUCUCACUAUCUGCCGCAGUGAGGAAACAGUGGCCCAAAUCAUUCCAAAUGUGAAUAUCCUGAAAUCGUUUGUUUGGAUCUUUGAAAUGUAUCAGAACAGAAUUUUUAGCCACUGGAGUUACACUGAAUCAGGAAUUAUAAUGAACGCAGAAGAGCACUGAGUAUGUUUUGCCAUCGUGUUAUCUUUGUGGUUGCUGAAUAAACAAUACUUAAGAAAGAAUAAACUGCUUA